UACAUAGGUGGCAAGCGUUAUCCGGAUUUACUGGGCGUAAAGCGUGCGUAGGUGGCCAAUUAAGUCAAAUGUGAAAUCCCUGAGCUUAACUUAGGAAUUGCAUUCGAUACUGGUUGGCUAGAGUAUGGGAGAGGAUGGUAGAAUUCCAGGUGUAGCGGUGAAAUGCGUAGAGAUCUGGAGGAAUACCGAUGGCGAAGGCAGCCAUCUAGCCUAAUACUGACACUGAGGCACGAAAGCAUGGGGAGCAAACAGG
rnacentral:rRNA from 1 species